ACGGAGAAGAAAACCUGAGGGAGGGGAAGCGGGGAGACUGGAGAGUGGUAUUCGGGCCGAGACGAAGAAGCGCAUGCUUCAUUAAGUGAGGAAGUAAUCCUGGCUAAUUAAGGCUCUCCAUGACAGCACUGUCAGGGAUGACUGAUCCUUCAAAUGGCACCUCCCUCCCCUGACUGACAGCCUGCCUGCUCUCACCGCUUUGAAGAAGGCAGCUCGCUCCCAACCCCCAGGAGCUCACGUCAACGCGCACUUGGAGAUGACCGGCUAUCUUGGGGCAGCGGCAAUCUGAGUGUCACAACAGGUGUCCAAUGCUUCAACAACACUCACCUGGGCAGAAGAGGAGGAUAAGGCCGGAUGCAAGAGGGAGUAACGAAGAGUGGGGGUAGGUGUGUUUGAUUGAGACUGCGGCAAACAAUGAGCUUGUGCAGGUUGAGCAGUUCCAGCAUCCAGCGAUGCUCCCCGGACACAUCCCAGCGCUCUGUUCUACAGCUGAGAGCUCCAAUGGCUUUGAACCCAAACAGGGUGUGGCAAUCCCAUUACCUGCUUGUCUUCUGCUGUCUGCUUACUGGAGCACGGUGGAGGAGCAGGUCUUUGAAUGGACAGGUGGAGCUGUAGGCAAGUUGACAUUCAGAGGCACAACAUAAAUUGCUGUCUUAUCAUUGAAAUUACAACAGCGUGGUUCAAUUUCACAGCAGAGGGAGGAGGGUGCAGACAAUGGAGGUCAAACAAUGGACACAGAAUGAAUCAUUUAUGUACUUGUGUGCUCAAACUUUUCUGCAGAGCUACGUAAUUUAUUGUUGAGAAAAAAAUUGUGAUGGAUAAACACAUCCAUUCGAAUCCUGUUAAAAAUUAUUGAAAGGUGCUGCAAUGUCCAAUAGAAUUCUUUUGUUUUUAGUUAAUUUAGUUUACACACACAUGUACUGAGCAUAAUGUCUAGUAGGACCAACAAUUCUCCUUAAGAGGGAGUUUAAUACUGUUAAGUAAUCUUUCAUGUAAUGGAUUUUGUUAUAUGUUGUUGUUGGCAAUAAUAACAACAAGAUCCCGUUUUAAUAAAGAAAAAAAGAUGUCCGCAUUACACUCUAAUAUUUUCCUGUUUCUUACCCAAUAAAAAUGUACAAUAUUUUUCCCCUGUAAGAUGAUAGUCUGCAGAGCUCGGUUGUUUUGUAGAUGGUGUCCUACUGUUGUAGCAACCCUGGUGAGUCUAUUUGAAAAAAUAAAAAUAAAA